AAACAUGUGAAAACCAUGAGGAAACAGGUUUUGUGAUAUUUAUAAAACAAAAUACUUCAUGCAGUUUUUUAAUAAAUAUUUUCAUAGACAAUCAUGAUGAAAUACAUUUAUCAUUGGUAUCCACGCAAUUUGUCGUUUGCUUUCCAUUGCAAUCCGACCAAAUUACUGUUUCAUGCAUGACUGGUUGCUGUGUUAAAUAAUUGUCAUAGCAACAAGACACUGAUUGGUCGAAGGCGGCAGCGCUGCUGCAGCCGUUACGGAAUUUUCUCUGUCAUUAUGGAGAGCGGGAAGAAGCACUUCUGAAACACACGUCCAGGCAUUUUGCCUCUGUCUUUUUCGACUUAAAAGCUAAAAAAAAAUUAAGAAGGUGUAUUUUAAUGAUCAAAUAGUUCGUAGACGAAAUGUAAAGAACGGAGAGCGGGAAGCAGACAACCAUGGCUUUGUCGUCGAUGUCGUCAGAAGAACUCCUAUUAAAAUUAACAGAGGCCGGACUCGAAUUCUCAGAGGAAGAAAAGAGAAAAUUCAAAGAUUUUGAAGUUGAUGGGGAAACUGUCAGUGCUGGUCUCACGGAUCACAUGAUAGCACAACUUUUUGAGAAGUCUUUUAAGAAGCAAGUUAAAUUUAUCAAACUUAUCCAACAACUUAAAGAGAACCAGAGUGAAGAACUGUCUGAAAGUCUGACUACACCUUCAGCUUUGAGGCAAGUAUUAGUAUUUUUUUAUUUAUGUUCCCUUAUAUUUUCUUCUGAUUGACUGAUUUUCUUUAAGUCCUUAAAUUUUUUAUUUAUUUUUUUGCCAGAAUGACAUUGAUGUCAGUCUUGAUAAAGCACAGUAAAACUGCACUUCAAAUUAAAGUCUGAAAGAUUUCACAGAAGUCACUUUAUUAAAAGUCUAUUCACCCAAAACUCUGAUGCUUCAAAACUUCAAUAAAGAGAUCGUAAAAUAAGUCCAAAUGAAUUAAGUUGGUUAAUUAAUUUGUUUAUUUAAAAUCUGGCCAUCAUUUUAUGUUACAAAAAGUGCAUAAUGCUGCUAAUUUUUGUUGGUUUCGACAUACAACUCUGUGAAGUGAUUUCCGUAUAUGUGAGUACUUUUUGAACAUUCCAGAACAUUUUAUCAAUAGCUGCGUUUACUUGGACACUUGUAAUUGAAUUGAUGGCUCAAUUGGACUAAAAAAACCUUCAUGUAAA
ensembl:lncRNA